AUGGGUCCUGGUCCUAAAUUGGGUUUUCUAGACCACUGUGAUACAAUGCUGCCCCAGUGCCCCGCUAGGGCCUGUGCUGCACGGAGCGGGGCAGGGCUCAGUGGGGCUGUGUCUCAUGGCCUCGCUCUCUCUCCCUUUGCAGUUAGUGCCACGGCCCCGUCUGUCUUCCCCCUGACCUCCUGCACCAGCGAAGUCACCACCCCCCAGGUCACCUUCGGCUGCCUGGCCAAAGGCUACUUCCCUGAGCCGGUCACCGUGACAUGGAGCCCCAACAUCGGCUCCUCGGGCGUGAGGACCUAUCCCUCCGUGCUGCAACCUUCCAGCGGCCUCUACUCGCUCAGCAGCCAGGUCACCGUCCCGGCCAGCAGCUGGGAGUCUAACACCUAUGGAUGCACCGUACAGCACCAGCCCACCAGCUCCAGCAUCUCCAAGGAAAUCCCAAAGCCCAUCCCCAUUAAACCCCAGGUGGAAGUCUUCUACAACUGCAACAGCCAGUCAGAGGUUGAGCUGGUUUGCUUAAUCUCCGGCUUCUACCCCGAGCGUGUGGACGUGGACUGGCUGGUGAAUGGCGAGAGACGAGCUGGUAACACUGAGCCGCCCACGAAGGACGCUGAUGGCCGCACCUUCAGCACCCGCAGCAAUCUCAGUGUCCCCCAGGGCGAGUGGCUGGCGGGCAAGACGUACACUUGCCAGGUGUACCACCCGGGCACCAAAACCACAACGCAGGCCCACGCCCACAAGUGCCAAGGUUAAUGUCCCCAGGGCUAGGCUGCCGACGAAGAGGAGGGGCAGUGGCGGAUUCAGAGUUACUGGGGCCCUGUGAUCAGCUUCAGUUUUGGGGUCCCCCUUGGGACCCAGCCAAGAAAAAGAACAUUCUCUGUUAUCUGCCCCC